rnacentral:rRNA from 1 species
UCGGUCCUCGCGAUGCCUCUAGAUUAAAGUUUGAUCCUGGCUCAGGAUGAACGCUAGCGGCUUGCCUAAUACAUGCAAGUCGAGGGGUAAGGCUCUUUCGGGAGCACACGACCGGCGCACGGGUGCGUAACGCGUAUGCAACCUACCCUUAACAGUGGGAUAGCCCGAAGAAAUUCGGAUUAAUACCGCAUAACACCAUGAGGUGGCAUCGUCUUAUGGUUAAAACUCCGGUGGUUAAGGAUGGGCAUGCGUGACAUUAGCUAGUUGGUGAGGUAACGGCUCACCAAGGCGACGAUGUCAGGGGUUCUGAGAGGAUGAUCCCCCACACUGGUACUGAGACACGGACCAGACUCCUACGGGAGGCAGCAGUAAGGAAUAUUGGUCAAUGGACGCAAGUCUGAACCAGCCAUGCCGCGUGCAGGAAGACGGCCUUAUGGGUUGUAAACUGCUUUUAUAAAGGAAUAAACCCUCGUUUGCGAACGAGGCUGAAGGUACUUUAUGAAUAAGCACCGGCUAACUCCGUGCCAGCAGCCGCGGUAAUACGGAGGUGCAAGCGUUAUCCGGAUUUAUUGGGUUUAAAGGGUGCGCAGGCGGACCUGUCAGUCAGUGGUGAAAUCCCGGGGCUCAACUCCGGAACUGCCAUUUGAUACUGCAGGGUCUUGAAUCNGGUUGAGGUAGGCGGGAAUGUAGCCAUGUUAGCGGUUGAAAAUGCCCAUAGAUAUGGCUACCAGAAACACCCGAUCCGCGGAAAGGUAAGCUUUACCCAAAGCCCGCCGAUUUGAACGCUUCAAGGCCAU